GGAAGACAUGAUGAGCACACGAUGGAUGCCAUGGCGCUGCGUGCCGAGGAAGGACGGGGCACGGCACCGAUAUGCUCCGGGGAGCCGCGUGCAGGCUGUGAUCCGGAGGUCUCCGAAUGGGGCAACCCGCUGCCAUCUGGCAGCGCUCCGCAUGCGCGGAGCGGGAACCCGGCCAACUGAAACAUCUCAGUAGCCGGAGGAAGAGUGAACGACACCCGUAGUAGCGGCGAGCGAACCGGGUGAGGCCUAAACCGUGCGCGUGCCAAGGGAGCAGCCGUUGCGCGCACGGGGUUGGAGGACGACCCACGCCCAUCCUGCUCGAUGGGCCUCACGCGACCGCGUUCAGCAGAAGCAGUGUGGAACCCUGCACCAGAGAGCGUGAGAGUCGCGUAUGCGUGCGCCUCAGCGUGAGGGGUCGUUCCUGAGUAGGUCCGGGCACGAAGAACCCGGGCUGAAGCCGGGCAGACCACUGUCCAAGGCAAGCUACACGCAGUGACCGAUAGCGCACAGUACCGUGAGGGAACGGUG
rnacentral:rRNA from 1 species